rnacentral:rRNA from 1 species
AGUGAACGCUGGCGGUAGGCCUAACACAUGCCAGUCGAACGGCAGCACAGUAAGAGCUUGCUCUUACGGGUGGCGAGUGGCGGACGGGUGAGGAAUACAUCGGAAUCUACUUUUUCGUGGGGGAUAACGUAGGGAAACUUACGCUAAUACCGCAUACGACCUACGGGUGAAAGCAGGGGAUCUUCGGACCUUGCGCGAUUGAAUGAGCCGAUGUCGGAUUAGCUAGUUGGCGGGGUAAAGGCCCACCAAGUCGACGAUCCGUAGCUGGUCUGAGAGGAUGAUCAGCCACACUGGAAGUGAGACACGGUCCAGACUCCUACGGGAGGCAGCAGUGGGGAAUAUGGGACAAUGGGCGCAAGCCUGAUCCAGCCAUACCGCGUGGGUGAAGAAGGCCUUCGGGUUGGAAAGCCCUUUUGUUGGGAAAGAAAAGCAGCAGGUUAAUACCCCGCUGUUCUGACGGUACCCAAAGAAUAAGCACCGGCUAACUUCGUG